rnacentral:rRNA from 1 species
UGGGGAAUUUUGGACAAUGGGGGAAACCCUGAUCCAGCCAUCCCGCGUGUGCGAUGAAGGCCUUCGGGUUGUAAAGCACUUUUGGCAGGAAAGAAACGUCAUGGGUUAAUACCCCGUGAAACUGACGGUACCUGCAGAAUAAGCACCGGCUAACUACGUGCCAGCAGCCGCGGUAAUACGUAGGGUGCAAGCGUUAAUCGGAAUUACUGGGCGUAAAGCGUGCGCAGGCGGUUCGGAAAGAAAGAUGUGAAAUCCCAGAGCUCAACUUUGGAACUGCAUUUUUGACUGCCGGGCUAGAGUGUGUCAGAGGGAGGUGGAAUUCCGCGUGUAGCAGUGAAAUGCGUAGAUAUGCGGAGGAACACCGGUGGCGAAGGCUGCCUGCUGGUAUAACACUGACGCUCAUGCACGAAAGCGUGGGGAGCAAACAGG